rnacentral:rRNA from 1 species
GACGAACGCUGGCGGCGUGCUUAACACAUGCAAGUCGAACGGCAAGGCCCUGCUUUUGUGGGGUGCUCGAGUGGCGAACGGGUGAGUAACACGUGAGUAACCUGCCCUUGACUUUGGGAUAACUUCAGGAAACUGGGGCUAAUACCGGAUAGGAGCUCCUGCUGCAUGGUGGGGGUUGGAACGUUUCGGCGGUUGGGGAUGGAUUCGCGGCUUAUCAGCUUGUUGGUGGGGUAGUGGCUUACCAAGGCUUUGACGGGUAGCCGGCCUGAGAGGGUGACCGGCCACAUUGGGACUGAGGUACGGACCAGACUCCUACGGGAGGCAGCAGUGGGGAGUAUUGCACAAUGGGCGGAAGCCUGAUACAGCAACGCCGCGUGCGGGAUGACGUCCUGCGGGUUGUAAACCGCUUUCGCCUGUGACGAAGCGUGAGUGACGGUAAUGGGUAAAGAAGCACCGGCUAACUACGUG